rnacentral:rRNA from 1 species
GUUGUAGGACUGCAAUAUUCAAAUGACUGUGAACUGGAAUGUUCUGGAAAGUUCAUCCAAAGAGAGUGAAAGACUCGUACAGGCAAGCAAGUCAGGCGAUAGCAGUAUCCUGAGUAGGGCGGGACACGAGGAAUCCUGUCUGAAUCCGCCGGGACCACCCGGUAAGGCUAAAUACUCCCAAGAGACCGAUAGUGAACCAGUACCGUGAGGGAAAGGUGAAAAGAACCCCGAACAGGGGAGUGAAAUAGAACCUGAAACCAUACGCUUACAACCUGUCGGAGCGGCUUCGUGCCGUGACGGCGUGCCUAUUGAAUAAUGAGCCUACGAGUUACUAAUCACUGGCAAGGUUAAGUGCACGGAUGCACGGAGCCGAAGCGAAAGCGAGUCUGAAUAGGGCGUUUAGUCAGUGGUUGUAGACGCGAAACCUUGCGAUCUACCCUUGAGCAGGUUGAAGGUUGGGUAAAACCAACUGGAGGACCGAACGAAUAAGCGUUGAAAAGCUUCUCGAUGACUUGAGGGUAGGGGUGAAAGGCUAAUCAAGCUGGGAAAUAGCUCGUACUCCCCGAAAUGCCUUUAGGGGCAGCGUUGUAAUUAAGAGUCUACUGGAGGUAGAGCUACUGAUUGGAUGCGGGGGCUUCACCGCCUACCAAAUCCUGACAAACUCCGAAUGCCAGUAGUAUGAUUUACAGCAGUGAGCGACCGGGUGCUAAUGUCCGGUUACGAGAGUGGAACAACACAGACCAGCAACUAAGGUCCCCAAGAGUAUACUAAGUUGAUCUAACGAUGUUUUGCUGCAGAGACAGCUAGGAUGUUAGCUUGGAAGCAGCUAUUCAUUCAAAGAGUGCGUAACAGCUCACUAGUCGAGCGGCAAAGCGUGGAUAAUAAACGGGCAUCAAGUAUACCACCGAAGUUCUGGGCACGAAAGUGCGGUAGGGGAGCAUUCCAUUCCGCGUUGAAGCCGAACCGUGAGGUUUGGUGGAGUGUAUGGAAAAGCAAAUGUAGGCAUGAGUAACGAUAAUGCGGGAGAGUAACCCGCACACCGCAAGACCAAGGUUUCCUGAUCAACGCUAAUCGGAUCAGGGUUAGUCGGGUCCUAAGGGUAAGCCGAACGGUGAUCUCGAUGGAUAAUCGGUUAAUAUUCCGAUACUGACAUAUACCUCGAUGGAGAGACGAAGGAACGUAAGUGCCGCCACCUGACGGAAUAGGUGGUUAAAGGGCUUAGGUAUAGGGACAGAUUAAGAGUUAGUCCUUGCUGAAACCUGACAGUACAGAGAGCCUACGGGCAAUUUGAUAGUGCACCCAAGUAGACUUCCGAGAAAAUCUUCUAAGUUAUAGUAUAUGUCACCCGUACCGUAAACCGACACAGGUGGUCGAGGAGAGUAUCCUAAGGUGCUCGAGUGAAUCACGGUUAAGGAACUAGGCAAAUUAACCCCGUAACUUCGGGAAAAGGGGUCCCAUCGCGAGGUGGGCGCAGCGAAGAGGUCCAGGCGACUGUUUAUCAAAAACACAGGGCUCUGCAAAUUCGAAAGAAGACGUAUAGGGCCUGACACCUGCCCGGUGCUGGAAGGUUAAGAGGGGAUGUCAUCGCAAGAGAAGCAUUGAAUCGAAGCCCCAGUAAACGGCGGCCGUAACUAUAACGGUCCUAAGGUAGCGAAAUUCCUUGUCGGGUAAGUUCCGACCUGCACGAAUGGUGUAACGAUCUGGACACUGUCUCAACCGUGAGCUCGGUGAAAUUGUAGUCCCGGUGAUGAUGCCGGGUACCCGCAACGGGACGAAAAGACCCCGUGAACCUUUACUAUAGCUUAACGCUGAAUUUGGGUACACAAUGUGUAGGAUAGGCAGGAGACUACGAAGCGGGCACGCCAGUGUUCGUGGAGUCGACGUUGAAAUACUGCCCUUUGUGUACUUGAGUUCUAACCCUCGAGAGGGGACACCGUUUGGUGGGUAGUUUGACUGGGGUGGUCGCCUCCAAAAGAGUAACGGAGGCUUCCCAAGGUACCCUCAGCACGAAUGGUAACCGUGCGUAGAGUGCAAUAGCAUAAGGGUGCUUGACUGUGAGACCCACAAGUCGAUCAGGUGCGAAAGCAGGGUAUAGUGAUCCGGUGGUUCUGCGUGGACUGGCCAUCGCUCAAAGGAUAAAAGGUACUCCGGGGAUAACAGGCUGAUCGCCGCCAAGAGCUCAUAUCGACGCGGCGGUUUGGCACCUCGAUGUCGGCUCGUCACAUCCUGGGGCUGGAGAAGGUCCCAA